rnacentral:rRNA from 1 species
AGAGUUUGAUCAUGGCUCAGGACGAACGCUGGCGGCGUGCCUAACACAUGCAAGUCGAACGAGAAUCUUUGAACAGAUCUUUUCGGAGUGACGUUUAAAGAGGAAAGUGGCGGACGGGCGAGUAACGCGUGAGUAACCUGCCCAUAAGAGGGGGAUAAUCCAUGGAAACGUGGACUAAUACCGCAUAUUGUAGUCAAGUCGCAUGACUAGAUUAUGAAAGAUUUAUCGCUUAUGGAUGGACUCGCGUCAGAUUAGAUAGUUGGUGAGGUAACGGCUCACCAAGUCAACGAUCUGUAGCCGAACUGAGAGGUUGAUCGGCCGCAUUGGGACUGAGACACGGCCCAGACUCCUACGGGAGGCAGCAGUGGGGAAUAUUGCGCAAUGGGGGCAACCCUGACGCAGCAACGCCGCGUGCAGGAAGAAGGUCUUCGGAUUGUAAACUGUUGUCGCAAGGGAAGAAGACAGUGACGGUACCUUGUGAGAAAGUCACGGCUAACUACGUGCCAGCAGCCGCGGUAAUACGUAGGUGACAAGCGUUGUCCGGAUUUACUGGGUGUAAAGGGCGCGUAGGCGGACUGUCAAGUCAGUCGUGAAAUACCGGGGCUUAACCCCGGGGCUGCGAUUGAAACUGACAGCCUUGAGUAUCGGAGAGGAAAGCGGAAUUCCUAGUGUAGCGGUGAAAUGCGUAGAUAUUAGGAGGAACACCAGUGGCGAAGGCGGCUUUCUGGACGACAACUGACGCUGAGGCGCGAAAGUGUGGGGAGCAAACAGGAUUAGAUACCCUGGUAGUCCACACCGUAAACGAUGGAUACUAGGUGUAGGAGGUAUCGACCCCUUCUGCGCCGCAGUUAACACAAUAAGUAUCCCACCUGGGGAGUACGACCGCAAGGUUGAAACUCAAAGGAAUUGACGGGGGCCCGCACAAGCAGUGGAGUAUGUGGUUUAAUUCGAAGCAACGCGAAGAACCUUACCUGGGCUUGACAUCCCUGGAAUCGAGUAGAGAUACUUGAGUGCCUUCGGGAAUCAGGUGACAGGUGGUGCAUGGUUGUCGUCAGCUCGUGUCGUGAGAUGUUGGGUUAAGUCCCGCAACGAGCGCAACCCCUAUUGUCAGUUGCCAUCAUUAAGUUGGGCACUCUGGCGAGACUGCCGGUGACAAAUCGGAGGAAGGUGGGGACGACGUCAAAUCAUCAUGCCCCUUAUGCCCAGGGCUACACACGUACUAGUACGGCUACCUUGUUACGACUUCACCCCAAUCAUCAACCCCACCUUCGACUGCUGCCUCCUAAUAGGUUAGCUCACAGGCUUCGGGUGUUAUCGACUCUCAUGGUGUGACGGGCGGUGUGUACAAGGCCCGGGAACGUAUUCACCGCGG